AGAGUUUGAUCCUGGCUCAGGAUGAACGCUAGCUACAGGCUUAACACAUGCAAGUCGAGGGGAAACGACAUCGAAAGCUUGCUUUUGAUGGGCGUCGACCGGCGCACGGGUGAGUAACGCGUAUCCAACCUGCCCACCACUUGGGGAUAACCUUGGGAAAGUAAGACUAAUACCCAAUGACGUCUCUAGAAGACAUCUGAAGGAGAUUAAAGAUUUAUCGGUGAUGGAUGGGGAUGCGUCUGAUUAGCUUGUUGGCGGGGUAACGGCCACCAAGGCGACGAUCAGUAGGGGUUCUGAGAGGAAGGUCCCCCACAUUGGAACUGGAGACACGGUACCAAACUCCGUACGGGAGCGA
rnacentral:rRNA from 1 species